UACGGAGGGGGCUAGCGUUGUUCGGAAUUAUUGGGCGUAAAGAGCUCGUAGGCGGCUUGUCGCGUCGGAUGUGAAAGCCCGGGGCUUAACUCCGGGUCUGCAUUCGAUACGGGCAGGCUAGAGUUCGGUAGGGGAGAUCGGAAUUCCUGGUGUAGCGGUGAAAUGCGCAGAUGUCAGGAGGAACACCGGUGGCGAAGGCGGAUCUCUGGGCCGAUACUGACGCUGAGGAGCGAAAGCGUGGGGAGCGAACAGG
rnacentral:rRNA from 1 species